CCAUAUUCUGCAUCAAGCCCCCGACUUGAACGCGCGAGUACGGCCGACCAGGCGACGAACCGAGCAGUGUUUACGCGCGUGAUUCCGUCACCGUCCGUCACCCUGUUCAAGUCGCGUUCGAAACGAAAAAAAAAUGUAACACCGCGUUUGGCCGUGACCAAAGGUGCGAAGGAGGAGUUUGUUUUUCGGACAACGAACCUGGAUUAGAAUCAAUCGAUCCGUAUGGAGCUGAAGUGACCGCAAAAGGAUUGACACGUUCCGGACGAUUUUGGAUAAGAAUUCCGGGGGCAAGUGAAGAAUGUGAGUGGGUGAAGAUCAAUCAUACUUAGUGUUGGCUAGAAUCACGAUCGUGCGGAAAAUAAAAAAAUAAUAAAGAAUAAAUAAUUGUAGGAAAAAAUCUACAACCCAGAAGUGGUCAUUGGUCAGUGGGAAGUUCUAGAAGAGAGAGAAAAAACAUCGAAGAUCAAUCGUCAACUCGCGAUGGCUUGAAGAAUCCAGUUCUGGUCGAGAACUGGAGCCGUGAAUACGUGUGACAAAGUGACACGGGAGCCGAGGAGUCCCCCGCGAUAGUUGUGAAACGUGAAAUAGUGAAAAAACGACGACGAACCCCGCACACUCCUCUGGAUUUAUGCACGUGCGUCGAACGAGUGACCGUGUGUGAAUUGAGAAGUUGAGUGACAGAGAGAGAGAGAGAGAGAGAGAGAGCGAGAAAGUUUCAAGGAAUAGUGAAAUAGUGAAAAGGUGUGCGAAGAAAAGGGUGCGACGGAGAUACGCCGGUUUUAGAACGAACGAUUACUAUAUAUGGUUCUAUUCUAAACAAACCUUAAUUCGUACACACACAAACAACCCAAACCUGAGACGUCGGGACGCACCCCACCAUGAGCGAGUUCAGACUGGCCAGCCCCGUCGGAACUCCCGGCACCGUGCGAAGGGCCAAACGGGGGGCCGUCGAUGGGGUCGUGAUGACUUCCACGACGACGACGCCCAAGACGAUUGUCGCCGAGGCAAAGUUUGAAGGACUCACGCUCGAGGGCGUCAACCAGAAUUUGGUAAGUCACGACUUGAGUUCGAAAUCGUGUGUGUUGUUUGCUUUUAAUUUUCUUAGGGAUUGUGCGGAAUUUUUAAGGUUGCUUUCGAUUUCGAUAUGUGAAUUUUAUGUUUUUGUUUUGCCCCGCAGGUUC